AUCUUAAAGCGCUUGUUGUACAGCUCGUGUAACCUUCUUCAGUUUUGCUAUUUUCGAGAGAGUGGACCAUACAUCUGAAGUACAUUAUCACUGUUGGCAGCUACUUUCACGAGAAUAGACCUCAUUGCGAGUAGAUUAUAAGCAUCAUCUUCAAAUUUAGAUUGUUGCACAAUUUUCUAUCUAUUAUCUGUCCAUUUUAUCUUCCUUCUCUCGCUCUAAGCAAUAAAUGAGAAUGUAUUACUAUUGAAAUAGUAGAAGUGAAUAAUUAUUUCAAUCUUUGUUUCUCUCUCUAGCUCGCACACUUGUUCACAUCGACAACACUUAACAGAGUUGUGCUCUUUCUUUAUU